rnacentral:rRNA from 1 species
AUUGAACGCUGGCGGCAGGCCUAACACAUGCAAGUCGAGCGGAUGAAGGGAGCUUGCUCCUGGAUUCAGCGGCGGACGGGUGAGUAAUGCCUAGGAAUCUGCCUGGUCGUGGGGGAUAACGUCCGGAAACGGGCGCUAAUACCGCAUACGUCCUGAGGGAGAAAGUGGGGGAUCUUCGGACCUCACGCUAUCAGAUGAGCCUAGGUCGGAUUAGCUAGUUGGUGGGGUAAAGGCCUACCAAGGCGACGAUCCGUAACUGGUCUGAGAGGAUGAUCAGUCACACUGGAACUGAGACACGGUCCAGACUCCUACGGGAGGCAGCAGUGGGGAAUAUUGGACGAUGGGCGAAAGCCUGAUCCAGCCAUGCCGCGUGUGUGAAGAAGGUCUUCGGAUUGUAAAGCACUUUAAGUUGGGAGGAAGGGCAGUAAGUGAAUACCUUGCUGUUUUGACGUUACCAACAGAAUAAGCACCGGCUAACUUCGUG